rnacentral:lncRNA from 1 species
GAGGCUUUGCACCGCUUUCCUGUUCCUCUGCCCUGGCAUAGGCAUGCAGUAUUGAGCCCCACUGCAAGUGUUCUUUGAAAGAAGGAGAACAAACUGGAAGGUGUUAUAGCAACAGAGUUAGUGGGUGUUGCUAUAAAUAAUAGAACAUUUGUUUUUAGAGUUUUUUUUUAAUUUUUUUUAGCAGUCGGGUAAUGGGCAAUGUGUUCUUACUUCAAGCUUUAGGGAGCAGGGCGGGAGGGGGGCUAGAAAAGGUGAGUGGAACAUGGAAGGAUCUUGCUCAAAACAUAGAGGAGAGAGCAGAGUAUUUAAAGAUAACAGCAGUGAUCCAAAAGCAAACAGCCUUGACCAAGUGUGCAGAGCCACUGUACUGCAGGGAGGGCAUCUGAGAGUCUGAGUCGCUCAGGACUGAAGAGCCUUGGUCUGCACGGGAGAUCCCUCGGCCUCCAUACUGGCCUGUCCCUCCUGGCUGCGUCACUUCCAUUUACCUGGUGUGCACAUCAAAAGGCAAGCAGCUCUUGCCACAGCACCUGCUGCGGACAGAGUCUUCCCUCAUACAUGUUUUGCCUACAAAACACUUAUGUCAGGGGAUAGAAAACGUGUUAUUCAGGACCCCAAAGUUGCAAAACAUCCAGGGAGGUUUUAUGUAUUAUAAAACAACCGAUCUAGGCCGUUCACCCCAUAUCUCAUUAAGAUGGGAUUCGAUGAGGAUUUGGAGGAAUAAAAUCUCUGUCCCCGUGUCCUCCUGUUCCCAGGUGUUGUCGGCCAUUGAUGGAGAUGAUGCAUAGAUCUCCAGAAAGGAAUGGAGGACACAGUCCACCAUGGUCAUUCCCCAAGGGAUGGGAGAGACAGAUCUCUGAGUGAGAUGUAUUCUCCUGUGCCCUAGAGGGAGAGUGCUCAGAAUUUUAAGUAAAAACCAUUCUUACUCUUCAGUCUGGUGAAGCGAAGACGAUAAUUUGUAUUGAUGUAUUUCAGACUGUGUACAAAGCAUGCUCUGGUGCUUUGGCUUUUGGUUUCUUUUUUAAUUUUGAAAACCUUGGCUGUAAGAGAAUUAAUUACUGGAAGAGAACACAACAGGACAUAACUUUGGAGGGAUUCUGACAAGGUCUUAAUGGCUGCCGUGUGCUAUUUAAUUUUCACCUGUGGGGUUUGUUUGUUUUGUUUUGUCUUUUAUUUCUCGUAUGUGCAUCAGGGAAGAAAAAUGUGUCCUGUUAACUAGAGGGCACGACCAGCCACACAGGUGUGGGAGAGAAGCGCUUCUGGGACCUCCAAUCCUGCCCAAGUCUCGCUUUCCUAUUCCCACGUUUCCUACAGAGUCUCUUGGGGCUGAGGGCAAAGGCCUCAGAAACACCAUGUGACCAGCCCUCCUGUCUCUGCCCCUUCCUGCCGUACC